CAUGGUUGUCGUCAGCUCGUGUCGUGAGAUGUUGGGUUAAGUCCCGCAACGAGCGCAACCCCACGUUUAGUUGCUAACGGGUAAAGCCGAGCACUCUGGACGAAACUGCCGUUGGCAAACGGAGGAAGUGGGGAUGACGUCAAAUCAUCAUGCCCCUUAUGUCCUGGGCCACACACGUGCUACAAUGGCCGGUACAGAGGGAAGCGAAGCCGUGAGGUGGAGCAAAUCCCAAAAAAGCCGGUCUCAGUUCGGAUUGCAGGCUGCAACCCGCCUGCAUGAAGUCGGAAUCGCUAGUAAUCGCAGGUCAGCAUACUGCGGUGAAUACGUUCCCGGGUCUU
rnacentral:rRNA from 1 species